AUGAGGUGGGUGAGGCUAGAAUCUGCGAAAACCAAAGAGGAUAUUUUGUAUGAUGUUCAGUAUGAAUCUCUACCGUACUUUUGUUUCUCUUGCGGAUUACUUGGACAUGCAGAUACGUUCUGUCCAACUCUGGCAAGUUGUGAUGCCUAUGGGAGGCUCCCAUAUGGGGAAAAUCUCAGAGUCCCAAUGAGGAAGAAGGACUGGGGUAGUGGACCUUUCAGGGGAUAUGGAGAGCCAGCUGAUAAUCAGUAUGCUGAGGAGGAGUGGGAAGAUGAGGAAGUGGAGAAAGGGGAGGAAGUAACCUCGCCUGACAAGUCUGCAACUAGUCGUGUUAAAAGAGCAGUCUAUCAGUUCAAUGCUCGAGGAGGAGCUAAUGGGAGAGGGGUACAAUCUCAACGGGGCAGAGGUAAUGAAAGGAAUCAUGUAUACAGGAGGUUGUGUGCCUGUAAGAAGUGUUGGCUUAAGUGGCGGUUUAGCUUUGUUCUGGGCACAUGA
rnacentral:rRNA from 1 species